rnacentral:rRNA from 1 species
UUUUCCUACGGGGCGCAGCAGUCGGGAAUAUUGCGCAAUGGAGGAAACUCUGACGCAGUGACGCCGCGUGCAGGAAGAAGGUUUUCGGAUUGUAAACUGCUUUAGACAGGGAAGAAAAAAGACAGUACCUGUAGAAUAAGCUCCGGCUAACUACGUGCCAGCAGCCGCGGUAAUACGUAGGGAGCAAGCGUUAUCCGGAUUUACUGGGCGUAAAGGGAGCGUAGGCGGACUUUUAAGUGAGAUGUGAAAUACUCGGGCUCAACUUGAGUGCUGCAUUUUAAACUGGAAGUCUAGAGUGCAGGAGG